AACGAACGCUGGCGGCAUGCCUAACACAUGCAAGUCGAACGAGACCUUCGGGUCUAGUGGCGAACGGGUGCGUAACGCGUGGGAACCUGCCCUUAGGUUCGGAAUAACUCCCCGAAAGGGGUGCUAAUACCGGAUAAUGUCUUCGGACCAAAGAUUUAUCGACUUUGGAGGGGCCGGCGUUGGAUUAGCUUGUUGGUAGGGUAAAAGCCGAUCAAGGCUACAAUCCACAGCUGGUCAGAGAGGAUGAUCAGCCACACUGGGACUGAGACACAGCCCAGACUCCUACGGGAGGCAGGAGUGGGGGAUAUUGGAAAACGGGGGGAAGGAUGAUCCAGCAAGGACGCGAGAGUGAUGAAGGCGUUAGGGUUGUAAAGCUCUUUUACCCGGGAAGAUAAUGACAGUACCGAGAGAAUAAGCCACGGCUAACUACGUG
rnacentral:rRNA from 1 species